AGAGUUUGAUCAUGGCUCAGAGCGAACGCUGGCGGCGUGCUUAACACAUGCAAGUCGAGCGGGCGUAGCAAUACGUCAGCGGCAGACGGGUGAGUAACGCGUGGGAACGUACCUUUUGGUUCGGAACAACACAGGGAAACUUGUGCUAAUACCGGAUAAGCCCUUACGGGGAAAGAUUUAUCGCCGAAAGAUCGGCCCGCGUCUGAUUAGCUAGUUGGUGAGGUAACGGCUCACCAAGGCGACGAUCAGUAGCUGGUCUGAGAGGAUGAUCAGCCACAUUGGGACUGAGACACGGCCCAAACUCCUACGGGAGGCAGCAGUGGGGAAUAUUGGACAAUGGGCGCAAGCCUGAUCCAGCCAUGCCGCGUGAGUGAUGAAGGCCCUAGGGUUGUAAAGCUCUUUUGUGCGGGAAGAUAAUGACGGUACCGCAAGAAUAAGCCCCGGCUAACUUCGUGCCAGCAGCCGCGGUAAUACGAAGGGGGCUAGCGUUGCUCGGAAUCACUGGGCGUAAAGGGUGCGUAGGCGGGUCUUUAAGUCAGGGGUGAAAUCCUGGAGCUCAACUCCAGAACUGCCUUUGAUACUGAGGAUCUUGAGUUCGGGAGAGGUGAGUGGAACUGCGAGUGUAGAGGUGAAAUUCGUAGAUAUUCGCAAGAACACCAGUGGCGAAGGCGGCUCACUGGCCCGAUACUGACGCUGAGGCACGAAAGCGUGGGGAGCAAACAGGAUUAGAUACCCCCGUAGUCC
rnacentral:rRNA from 1 species